GCGGAUGUGGUGAAAUUGGUAUACACGCUGGAUUUAGGUUCCAGUGCCGAGAGGCGUGAGAGUUCGAGUCUCUCCAUCCGCACCA
rnacentral:tRNA from 1 species